rnacentral:rRNA from 1 species
GACGUAGGGCGCGAGCGUUGUCCGGAUUUAUUGGGCGUAAAGAGCUCGUAGGCGGCUUGUCGCGUCGAAUGUGAAAUUUUAGGGCUCAACCCUGACAUUGCAUUCGAUACGGGCAGGCUUGAGUUCGGUAGGGGAGACUGGAAUUCCUGGUGUAGCGGUGAAAUGCGCAGAUAUCAGGAGGAACACCGGUGGCGAAGGCGGGUCUCUGGGCAGUAACUGACGCUGAGGAGCGAAAGCGUGGGGAGCGAACAGG